CUUCACUGCCCCAGACGACCCAAGCCCAACCCGUAGUAUGCUUCACUGACAAAUGUUGAUGUUGAUGCUUCAUCAUCACAUAGACCAAAGGUUUCAGUGAAGGCUGGUAGAGCUCUCUAUUAGUGUGAGCUGUGGGAGAUAACCAAGAACUGACAACCGCCUAAAGAAGAGGUGGCGAUAAAGGCUCUCCAAGAGGAGGUUGUGAGUCUGAAGGCUUUUAUUUAACAAGGAGGCACUUAGAGGGAAUGCCUGGACCCUG